rnacentral:rRNA from 1 species
AGAACGAACGCUGGCGGCAUGCCUAAUACAUGCAAGUCGAACGAAGCUUCGGCUUAGUGGCGCACGGGUGCGUAACGCGUGGGAAUCUGCCCCUUGGUUCGGAAUAACAGUUGGAAACGACUGCUAAUACCGGAUGAUGACGAAAGUCCAAAGAUUUAUCGCCAAGGGAUGAGCCCGCGUAGGAUUAGCUAGUUGGUGAGGUAAAGGCUCACCAAGGCAACGAUCCUUAGCUGGUUU